rnacentral:lncRNA from 1 species
UUUUUAUAAGUUUAUUGAAAUAGACCGAAGUCUCGGAAACUAUGUUUUUACAAAUUUAUAUUUAUUCAUGUAUACAAUAAUAGUAUAUGUAUCAAAUGUGCCCAUUUUUAUUUAUAUCACGGGUUUUCAAAAGUCGAGUUGUUUGGAUGUUCAGAAGUCUUUAAGAAGUUCCAACCACUUGUUAAAAGUAUCUUUAUAAUUAUCAAGAUUGUCGGUCACAUGUAACAAAUUAAAUAAUGACCCUUGUUUAAACGUCAUCCUCCAAUUUGAAAGAUAUCGCCGAACCCCCCAACCAGCAAGAUACUCUGUUGACCAGAAUGAUCUGUUAAGCCUUUCAUGUACCGCUACUCUUGAUGGUAAACUUACUGAUGUUUGCUCAGAUGGCUUUAGAUUCCAGCUCAUUCCUUCAAGCUCUUAUAUACUCCUUUCACCAGAAAUUGACGUGAUGCCAUUUGUUGUGAGAUGGUCCACAACAUUUUCUAUAUUAUAUUGGAAUCCCAUAUAGCUAGUGUUUGAUAGCCUACCCGUUAUGGCUAUUGUAAUCAAAAGAUUACUUUCGCCUACUUGCCAAGUUUCGUACCCAUGAGUUUGUAUGACAACUUCUACAUGAUUAUGGAAGUCCUCGAUACUUAGGACCAUAUCAGGGAACAUGUAGACUAGUUGCAUUCCUGCAGAGAGGUCGACUUCCAUAGCUCCAAUGAUUUGUCGACUAUUUUCCCAUCUAGUGUCUCGAAGGACAACUAGAGCAUUUGUUCCCGCACUUCUCCUGUGGAGUGCAUGUAGCCUAAUCAUGAAUAUUCCUAGGUGAAUAUGCUGGAGCCCUGAAGUCCUCAAGUUCUGGUAGCUUUCUUGAUCACACAGCCGAAGGUUAACUUGAUUUUCUCCAACACAUAGGAUUCUUUGCUCAGAGUAGUGUCAUAGACUCUAUGUCUUGUAGUACUCCUAUUGUUUGAAUAAAGUAUCUCUGCUGGAACAAGAUUUGCCUUUUCCUGAAUAUACCUUAGGGGUUUAGCCUUCCAUAGAGCUAAGAACGUUUUGAUUCAAAGCUCUGAUACCAAGAUAAAAAUUACGUUGCCAGGAAUAUUUAUAUUAUACUAAAAGCUCAAAAACUAAAACUUUAAAAGUACAAGUAUUACUUAAAACACAUCUCUUUAUUAAAAUACUGCGGAAGCUUUGAUACAAUGGUAGUGGUGGUGAUUGUAGGUGAAUGAAUUCGAUGAUCUCAAACUUAGAACUUAUGCCCUUAUAUAGACGGACUUACAAACUAUUGGACAAGAAUAAAAACAUAAGCGAUGACAUUCAAACAAGGGCCAUUAUUUAAUUUGUUACAUGUGGCCGACAAUCUUGAUAAUUAUAAAGAUACUUUUAACAAGUGGUGGGGACUUCUUGAAGACUUCUGAACAUCCAAACAACUCGACUUUUGAAAACCCGUGAUAUAUGAAAUAAUUUCACAUACGGGCCCUUCUAGCUUUUGGAUAAAGGUAUGGAUCCAUGGGACGAUAUAUACCAAGAACCUAUAUCAUUAUCCAUGUAAGAUAUUUUUACUUAAGUAGUUCAUGAAUUAAAAUUUCAUAUAAGAACUUUAAGGCAUUAUCAUCAUCUAUUUACAUAGAAUGUCUACGAGACUACGACCUUGGCCUUAGUAUUUGUUAAACUACAUAGUUGUCGCUCAUAAGGUUUUAGUUAUUUUAUCUCGGUAGUUUUCAAACUUAGAACGUUUCAAUAUGUAAUUUUUAUUUAGACAAAAUUACAUUUUUGGUCCAUGUGGUUAUAUGAUUUUUUUGGAUAAAGUACACUUUUUCCAAUUUUAACAUUUAUGGUCCGUGAAAAAGUUUUAUGUCACGUUGGUCCCUGGGCUGUUAAAAUCAUUCCAACUGACCGUUUUGCUGUUAUCAUCUUCAUUUCUUGGUGUUCAUUCUUAAGAAUCUUUUAUCUGUAUAUCCAAUAUAAUUACAACACAAAUAAUACUAACAUCUUUUAAAAUCAAACCUUAUUAUAGAAAAAUAUAAUCAAACAAAAAACAUAAUCAUGUUCGUCAAUAUUUGACAAAAUACGAUUUUUCUUUUGCUCAUUGAGUCAUUGAAGCAUCAAUUUGGGGUUACAAAACCAAAAGUUCCAGAACACAAUACCUAUCUACGAUUUCGAGUAUCCUUUAGUUAACGCACACAGACGAUUAAAUAACAAGUGGAUCAAGUUUGACUCCAAUUCAUCAAUAAUAUUGUUUUUUCGACUUUAAAGAAACUUCCCUAUGAUUAAAUUUAAGAAACCAAGAAUGUAAUGAAGAAAAUCGGAAAGAAUUUAAGAUGCAUACAUCUGAUCAAACAAUGUAAAAUUGUCUAAAACUAGAUUCUAAAAAUGUUUAAAGAUUCGUUAAAUCCAGAUGGGUAUUUCUAAAGUAGCUUGAAAAGAACAAAAAGAAGGUAAUAAAUUUGAAUUGACUUCAGGGUUUCUUCUAUAAGUAAUGAAGAAGACAAGGGCAAUAAUGUAAUUCUGUAUAUUAUUUAAGGGCUUGCUUAGCAAAACUAGGUAGCUAGUAGCUGUAGCUAUUCACGAGUACAUUGUCUGUUUGAGUAAAAAUAAUAAAACACAUUGCUCUUCAGCAUAAUUUCCCCUUUAUUUUAAUUUAGAAAUCCAUCAAAAAACUGCAAACUGUAAUCAUAUUUAAGGUUCUUUCUUAUCUGGGGGAGACGAGCAAUUGAGCUAUAACAUGAAAAAUAAAAAAAUAAAAAUAGAAACUCCUCAUUUGAUGAUUAGAUGGCAUGACAUGCAUCUCUCAAUUCUCUAUUUCAUACAAAUAUUCAUUCAGUCAUCUUCAAAACAAAGGAUUACAACUUAUGUCAAAGGAACAAACACAGUAGCACCAAAAAAAAAACCUCUUUCCCUAAAGACUCUCUCUCAGAUACAGAGUUUGGUUGUUUGGUUGUUUAAAUCAGAGAAACAUGCAGAGUAUAAUAAUACCUCUCUCUCUCUCUCUCUUACUUCUUCCCACCACCAGAGACAUUAAAUUUGAAAAAUAUAAUAUCACCAUCCUGAACCACAUAAGUCUUUCCCUCUUGCUUGUACUUCCCAGCAGCCUGCAAUUAAGUGCUCAACUCAUCAUUAACUCAAAAAAAAAAAAAAAAAAAAAAAAAAAAAAAAAAAAAAACUUCCGCUUCCCCUUAAUCAAUUCAACCACAUAUCAUAUGAUAUGGAUAAUACCUUAACAGCAGACUCGCUUCCCAACUCUUUAAGAUCCUCAAACUUCAUUACCUACAAAAGCAUCAAAACAUACAGAUUCUCAUCAUCCUCCUCAAAAUCAACACUUAAAAGAUUCAGAUAUAUAUUAUAAGAUUGAAGACAAGUAAUAACCUCUGCACAGAUAAACCCUCUUUCAAAAUCAGUAUGAAUUGCUCCUGCAGCUUGAGGUGCCUUUGUUUGCCUCCGAAUUUGCCAGCAUUUCACCUGCAUCCCAAUCGCCACAUCAUCUUUAAUUUAAACUAUACAACAAUCUGGAAAGUUAAGAUUAUUUUACUGUUAAUAGAGUAAAAAGGUAGAAAAGAAAUUACCUCAUCAGGUCCAGCAGUGAAGAAGUAGAUAAGGUUAAUGGCAGAAAAUCCAGUCUUUAUUAUCUUUGGAAGAGCACUGUGCCACAUUCCAUAUUAUAUUAAUAAUACUUUUUAAAUAAUAAUACCAAAAUUACCCAACAAAAAAUAAGAAUAUCAUUUUCAAGAAAACAUCAUCUCAACUGACCUUUGAAUCUUGUUCUCCUCACAGUAUUUUGCUGCUUCAUCAUCUGGAAGAUCAGCAAGAUUCCGUUCCAAAGAACAACUGAAAGGAAUAAUUGUCUCGCCCCCAUGCUCUUGCACCCUAGUACAAAAUAAAAAAAAAAAAUUAAAAGUUAAAUCACUAAAUAAUUCAAUGAUGUUUUAUGAUGAUUAAAAAUGUAAAAAAGUAAAUCAAACAUACCAAGCAUGAAUCUUGGGAAGAAACUUGUUCUUUUUUCUCUGAUAAUCUUUUUCAUUCAUAUUCACCUGCACACAUGUGUAAAGGGUAUUCAAGGUUUCAAUAUUAUCAGCAUAACAAUAGACAUUCAAGAACAAAUGAAUUUACCAGAUAAACAACAGGUUUUGCAGUGAGCAACUGAAAGGUAUUCAGUAUUUCAAUUUCAGCAGCUUUCCACUCCCCCAAACGGAUGUCUUUUUCACUCUCCAGCCAUGUUUUCACCUUAACAAAACAAAGCCAAGUACAUUUGACUCUUAAUCAAGUAAAUAUACAUUAAAAAAUACUUAGUAAAUCUAUGAAGAUACAUACAUACCUUCAAACACAAUUCAAGUUCUAUUUUUAACUGCUUGUCGUUGCUCCUCUUCAUGCUCUUUUCAAGAUCUUCAAUUGUUCUUUUUAUGAACUCAAUAUCCUUUACAAUAUAAGAUGUUAAUUGUUAUGAAUCUAAAUCAUACAAGGAAUAAGCAUCCAAAAAGAAAUGAGAACACACCUUCAGCCGUAAUUCUGCAGUUAUAACCUCUAAAUCUCUUACAGGAUCCACAAUGUCAUCAACAUGUAUAAUAUCCGGGUCUUCAAAUGCACCUGUUUUACAAAAAACAUACCACAAGAAACAUUUUCACACUUUGAAAAUGAAUAAGCAAAUCCACAAUACAAAAAACAAAUUCGUAAUCUUACGUAAAACAUGGAAUAUCCCAUCAACUGCACGAAUGUGAGAUAAGAAAUUGUUUCCAAGCCCUUGUCCUUCAUGAGCACCUUUAACCAAUCCAGCAAUGUCAUGUAUCUCUAAGAAUGCAGAGAUCUAACAAGCAAAGAAAAAGUAGACAUCAAUACAAGCCAAAAUUUUGGUUAAUUUACUUGGAAGCUAAGAGUAGAUCAUCAAAUAAAAACUCAUUCAGCAUUCAAAUGAACAGUUUAUAUGUUGAUGUUUCCAUAUAUAAUAUAUAUUACCUCACUCUUUGGCUUGAAUAGCUGACAAAGCCAUUCAAAACGCUCAUCAGGAAUAUUGACACGAGCUUCAUUAGGUUCAAUGGUACAAAACGGAAAGUUCUCAGCAGGAAUCGACAGCUUAGUGAGAGUGUUGAAGAGAGUGGAUUUCCCUACAUUCGGCAAUCCCACCUGAAAACAGUUUGCAUUGUAACAAAUCCCAGAUCAGCCAAUUUAACUACAAUCUGGAGUCCCAACGCACAAAAAUGAAGAUGUAAUCUCCUAUAUUAGUAGCAAGGGAGCAAAGAUCCUUAUUUCAUCAUCUAGGAUUACUAUUUAGGAUACCAAUAGUCAAAGCUUGAAAUUUAUGACUUCAUACAGUACUACUACUCCCUAUCAUAUACUUGUCGUAAUAACGAAUAAAUCAUACUGAAUUACACUGAAUUGGAUUAGAAACUGUAUAAAAAUAAGCAUGAAUCAAAUAAUGAUUGCGAUUCAUGACAGUGAGAGUUAACAGGAACUAACGAUCCCAAUCUUCAGAUGCGAUGAAAAACGACCAAGGAUUGGCCUUUCUACGGGUGCUUCCUUCGAUUUCGCAGCCUUUGGAGGCAUAUUUCCUUUUACAAACAGAAACGAGAGAAGCACGGGAGCAGGAGCGAGGCUGCAGGAACGAGAGUGCGUUCAAGAUUUCUUUAGGGUUUAUACAACAACAAGACAUUUGCAUCUAGCCUCUUAUACGAACGGACGGAAUAAAGAGGCGAUUCUAUUUUUCUUAUUUUUUUAAUGGAUAAAACACAAAAACACAUAUUUUUAUCAUUUUAUUGUAUAUUUUUCAUUUUUUUAAUAAUAUUUUUCUAGCUAAAUUAUAGAUUUCAGCUCAUUUAUAUAUGCUCAUUUAUAUUUAUAUAUGUGAAAUGAUGGAUACCACCUAUAUUAUGCGUUCCGAUCAAGGUUGUCAAAUAUAAAUUUUAACCUAUAUUAUGCAUUCCGAUCAAGGUUGUCAAAUAUAAAUUCUAUAUACGAUCGUUUUCCAUUUUACAAUAUCAUAAAUGUAAGAUCAAAUUAAAAUCGUAAGAUUUUAUAAAAAAACAUAUUCAAACAUAUAAAAAAUCAAUAAACCAUCUUUUAACAUUAAAUAGUUUAAAACAUGAAAAAUACACAGUCCAUAAAUCAUUAUUUAGACUUGAUAAUUUCAUGUGAUCAUACUAUAUGAUUUGAGUAUGGUUGCAUCCAUAAAAUUUAUUCUGAAAUGACUAUAUUCAUUGGAAAACUAUUGUUUAGCAUUAUGCUUAUGCAUUCAAAUAGGACGGGUUGUGUUGUUUUGAGCACCAUGAUUGUGCAUUUAGAUACGAUGAGUUGACUUGUAUAUGGCAAUCUAUCUUUGGGAUCCUUAAGCUUAGUUUUCCCUAUCAUAAGCAUAUUUUAUGAGUAGCAUUAUGGUAGGCUCUCAUAUGCAUAUAUGAUCUUUCUAACUCCCAUAUGAUCUAGUCGUACCUAGCUUUAGAUUAAUGUAAAAGUUGUAUGAUUUUAUUAUGUGCUAACUAUACAUGAACCCGGAGUCCAUACCACUAUUUUGAGUUUGCACAUGAGAUUAACAUGGGUUAUGUAACGCCCCGAUUCUCAAGUAUUGCUUAAAUAAGAUUUAUUGGGUUAAGCUCUACUCGACGAGUUGGUUGACCUACUCGUCGAGUAGCAGCGGGGUGGGAACGCGUGUUAAGUGACCUACUCGACGAGUCCAUGCUAGACUCGGCAAGUAGGAGCUGACAGUGGAAACCCUAAAUCUCGGGGUUUGCACCUCUAUUUAAAGGAGCCUUAGCCUCCUUUGGCCUCUUUACAGUCUUUGAGAGCCCCUUAAAACCCUAAUUCGUGUGUGUGUGCCUUGGUGUGGUGUUUGAAGCUUGGAAAAGAGGAUCUUGAAGGAAGAAAGCUAAGAGUGCAAAGGAAAUUGAAGCAAGGAAGGAGUGGGAAGCAGGAUUUACCUCAGCUAGCAUCCUUUGGAGGUAUCAAAGUGCCAUUCUUACUUCCUUUUUCCAUUUUGUUGAGUUUUUAGGGCUUUUUAUGGAUUUUCAAGUUGGUAUGAUGAGCUAUGGGCUAGAUCUGAAGUUGUAACUUUAGAUCUGGACCCUCCUUGGAUUCUAGAAGCAUAAAGUCACAGUCUUGGUUGUGAUUAAGGUCCCUCUUGAGCAUGAAGUUCCAUUAAGAACUUAGAAUAGACAUUUAUAGCCUUUAUAGUCAUGCAUGCACGUAAAGUUUGCAACUUGACGUGAUAAGCAUGCCCUAGAAGCUUGGAUCUAUGAGUUGGAGCCGUUGCAUGGCUCAAAAUAUGUCUGUAUGGAGGAAAAGGAUUGAAUGGACUCAGCGAGUCACAUGAAGAUGGUCAUGAAAUCGACGAGUUGGAUGAACAACUCGGCGAGUCCGAUGAAGAUCACCAUAAGACUCGACGAGUUGAAGAACAACUCGGCGAGUCGGAUGAGUUUCCUUUGGGAUAUGUAUGAGUGUGUAUCUGUCGAGUUGCAAGGAGGGAACUCGACGGGUGACCUUGAGUUUGAUCGAGAAUCAAAGGAACUUGAUGAGUCACUCCGAUGACUCGGCGAGUUGGAAUGUACUUCAGGGAACUCGGCGAGUAGCCAAGGGUACUCGGCGAGUUAAGGUCAACAUGGACUGUUGACCUUGACUGAGGACUUUGACUUUGACCAGGGGUUGACUAGUGGGUUAUGGAGUACCUUAUAAGGUUAAGGACUUAUGAGCAGUGUUCUAAAAGGCGCGCCAUGGCGAGCGCCAAGGUGCGCCAUGGCGGGAGGCGCGGCGUCGCUGUUACGAAAAGCUUCAUAACGUUGCUGUUAGGCGUGGCACGUGGCAAGGCGUGAUAUAGCGUGCCAUGGCGUGUUAUGGCGUGUUAUGGCGCGUGUUUUUUCGUUUGAGACACGUUUUUAUUUUUUGCUCUUUUGUAUACCUUUUCUAAUCGGACAUACAAGUAUUGUGUUUUUAUUAACUUUCUGUUAUUAGUUGUUGAUAUAACACUUCUAAAAACUAGGUAUAUUUGAUAUAAAUUUAUAUUUAUGCGGUAAUAUAAUUAUAAAUGAAUACAAAAUCGCCACCUUGCAUCACGCCUUGAAAAACGCCAUGGCUCGCCAUAACUCGUUAAGCUUGAGGCUUGGCCUUGCCGCCACGCCACACCUCACGCCUUUUAGAACCUUAGUUGUAACUUUAGAUUUGAGUGAAAUGAUUCGAGAACGAGAAGCAUUUGCAUAGCUUGUGGUGAUACGGGACCAAGAUUNUGUGAGGUGAGUUAUCCCCACUAUAUCGAUAGGGUCUACGGCACCAAGGCCGGCCCUUUAGUUGUUAUUGUUAUGGUAUGCUACAUGUGGUUAUGAUCUGUUAGAUCGGAAUCGGGGUAGACAGUAUGUUAUGCUCUUAUGAUCCGUAGGAAUUGGUAUGUUAGUGACCUGCUAGGUCGGUACUCUAGUUACAGGAGAUUCUAUGAUUGAUGAUCAGUGUGGCAGAUAUGUUUGAUGUUUGUACAUGCCUGUAGAUGAUAGUAUGCGCACAUAGUUAUUUAUUGGUGGUUGGGUUGAGGCGGUCCUGCUUUGUGUUGAAGGCCAAUAUACCCUAUGAGCGGUCCGGGGAGACUGUAGGCCCACAUGGCGGACCAGUCAUGCCAAAGGCUCGGGAUAGAUUCAGACAGACUGUAGGCCCGGUAGGGCUGUCCAGUCAGGCCGAUGGCCCAGUAUGCAUGAUGAUUGUUUGAUUAUUACUGAUAUGGUAUUGUCAGUGUGGUAUUGGUAUUUUGGGGGGUAGCUCACUAAGCCCUCGGGCUUACAUUUUUCAGUUUAUUGUUUCAGGUACUUCAGGAGAUCAUGGAAAGGCGAAGGCAUGACCGUACCGCUCCUCAUCCUUAUGUUAUGAUUUUUGGGACACUCUAAUGGAAAAUGAUUUGAAAACAUUUUGUAAACAAUGCUAUUUUGUUUUAUUUAUUAUUGAAAAAGUUUAAAUUUGGUGUAAAAUUUAUGGAUGUUACAGGUUAUUGAGUAGUAAUAGUAUCCGUACUACUAUUUUGAGUUUGUACAUGAGAUUAACAUGGGUUAUUGAGUAGUUGUGUGUGUAUUGCAUACUUCUUAUUAAAUGUUUAAAGCUUAUGAUAUUGUUUUAUGACAUAAAUUUGAAUGUUAUUCUCAAAUGUUUAAACAUAAGUUUGUUUCAAAUUAAAAAUAUUAUUAGGUUGUUUGAAUUUGGAAUUGGAUGAUCGCAACCAUUAAUUCCCUUAAAAGAGUUGGCCCCUCGUAUACUCAUCAUGUUUCUUCAUUUGUAUUUUGAUAUGUACUCAAAUUAGGUAUUAUGAAGGAAGGUAGAAAAGGAAGAACAUGAAAUUUUAGAAGACCACGACUAUUAUAGUGGAACACUUUAACUUUUAUUUUUUUUGGUUACUAAAUGUUACUUCCUCGCGUAUCAUUAACUUUUGAUAACUUUUAGACUUUUGUUGAAAAUACUAAGUAUUUAUAACAUUCAAUCUCGUAUUUAAUAUUUAUUUUGUGUUUGGAUAAUUUGUGUCAAUGUUUGCAAUUCUUGGUGUGGUCUCAUUUACGAAUUAAUUUUGUUAAAAAGGGUAGUUUAUGUUAUUAUGAAAUUGUUGUGGCUUGCGAUUCGUUUCUUGCAAACUGAAGGUGAGGCAUGAAUCCUUUUUCGUGGGUUAUAUCCAAGAUCCAGUUCAUAUCCACNNNNNNNNNNNNNNNNNNNNNNNNNNNNNNNNNNNNNNNNNNNNNNNNNNNNNNNNNNNNUACUCUCGAUCAUCAUGUAGAAAUGAUUUCUAAUAAAACAAUGUAUUUUAUUUGUUUAUAAUUAUUAUAAAAAUAUAUAUUAUUUUAGUUGUAAUACGAAAUUCAUCAUUUAUGAUAACAUAACCGAUUCUAAGAUUUUAAGAAUUGUUACCUAAUAAAUUAUACAUCGUAUCAAUUAUGCAACUUAUCGAAUAUUAUGGGAAUCGUUGGUUGAAAACUGGAAAAUAUUAUAAAAAUAACCGUUAGGCUGCUCGAAUUUCGUCAUGACAGACAAUAAGAUUAGGAAAUAUAUUAAGUGUUACGAAUCACAAAUACUAAAAGACUUAAAUCAAAAUCAUUCCUAAACAUCAAAGAAUUAUAAGUAUUCUAAAGUCUUAUAUCGGAGAGUUUAGGAUUAGGAUGCCUGGACAUAUUGUUAGGUUCCAUCACACCCGUGGGACGCUCUAUGUGAGCUAUGUAUGUUUCUAAAAGCUUUAUGAGCUAGUAUCGUUUCCUAAGCUAUGGGCUAUGUUGUUGUGUACACUGAGACCGAUUGUUUUAGUCAAAAUCCUCUGAGUUAUAACCGUUAAUUUGGGAGGGAUUUAUAGUGUAAAUCUAAGCACGACAUACAACUUCGUCUGACGAGACUAAACUGGCAUCAAGUGUUUUUUCUUUGUUACUACAUGCCUUUUUAAUACGUUAGUGAUGAUCCAGAUACCUCCAUUUCUUGUCCCCGUCCAGGGCAGGAACGUUGAUAGUGUCGGUUAUAGAUUCAUCUUAGAUCCUAGAUUUAUUUUCUUACCGUAUAAAAUUUGCAUUAGGUUUAUACGGAGUCAUUGUUCACCUAUAUUAGUUGGAGGAGACUAUAUUUAGUGUGAUAGUUUGUGACUCAAAACGAUAAGUGUCAAUACCUGAAAUUAAGUCAUAUAACACUUAAUUAACAUCAUGACAUGAUUGGUUAAGGUUUAUUAACUUAAAAUAAUAAGUUAUUUAUAUAAACCCCUUUGUUUUUAUACAAAAAUGUUAUGCUUGGUUUAUGUGUUGUUAAAUUUUCAGAAUUUUUAGGGUUUUAGGUUGGAACUCGACGAGUUGGGGAGCUCCAGCUCGUCGAGUAGAGAUCAUUUAUGAGGAUGCAGGACUUCGGAUCUACUCCACUAAUUGGAAGGCCCCGACUCGACGAGUAGACACUGUAAAGGAAAACCCUAAUUUUUAGGGUUUGUACCCUAUUUAAAGGUCUUUAAGCCUCACUUGUAGCCUCCCUUAUCACCCCCUUUGUCCAUAGAAACCCUAAAUUGUGUCUCAUCUCCCAAUUUGAGUGUGUGAGGGCUUAAGGAGUGCCUUUUUGGUGUUUAUGUGAAGAAGCUUGAUGUGAUUAGUGCAUAGCUGAAGGGAGAGGCUGUAGAUCCAGUGUUUACUCUGUUGUGGCAGCCAUUUUAAGGUAUAAAGUCGAACCUUGACCUUUCAUUGCUUAGAUCUUCUUCUAUGAAAGUUUAUGGCCAUUAUUAGCCUAGUUUGGUACCAUUCUUAGUUUUGAGCAUGAUAUGAAGAUAUAGCUUUAGAUCUGGACAUCUCAGGGCCUUCGGGGACUUAAAGUUGCCAACUUUAUCAAGUCUUGGCCCUCUUUCAUGCUCUAAGUCCCUUGACAAGCUAUGAUCAAGUGUUUUUAGCCUUGUAUGCCUUGCAUGCACGUAAAGUUUGCAACUUUACGUGGUAACUACACUAUAAGGGGUUGGAUCUGUAGUUUGGAGCCUUGGAUCCCACUGGAAAGGACUAAAAACAGAAAGGACUAAAGGGACUCGACAAGUUGCUUAGCCAACUCGACAAGUCGGGUAGGGUUUUCCCGUUUUCGGGAUCCUGAGUGAUUUUGGUGAGCUGAUUAAGUAAUUUUGGUCAAGAGAUUUAGGUUUAGAGUUUUAGGCCCUUGGACAUUAAGGAACUCGACGAGUUAAUAAGGUGACUCAACGAGUUGAUGGACUCCGAAGGAACUCGACGAGUUGCUAGAUGCACUCGACGAGUUAGGUCAACUUGUAGCGUUGACCUUGACAAUGACUUUGACUUAGGAUUAGGAGUUGACUAGGGUUGACCAUUCAAUAUUUCAGUCCUUUUUGGAUAAUGGGCAUUCUUGGGUUAGGUCCAUGAUUGUGACAUCCCCAUUUUCACGGCCAGAAAAGACCGAUUUUGUUUAUGCUUUGUUUGAAAAUCAGAGUAACAUUUUAAAUAAAAGUGUUGCGGAAUUUGUCCCAAAACAAAAUAUGAUAAAGAUUUAUCAAAAGCAUUUCCAUAGAAAUGUAUUUCAUUAAAAAGACUCGGGAUGUCAUGUUCGAUACAUAUCAUAAGCAUAAACAAUACAACAUAAGCCUUACUACAUUAUUUCAUAACUACAGACCUAUAUCCGUAAUCCCUCAUCCAAAACAUCACAUCUAUGCUCGAGCGCCAAUACCUGUAAUACAUAAAACUGAGUGGGUCAGACUUGGGAGCCUGGUGAGCACAUAAGGUUUUCAACCCACAAUAAAUAAGUUUAUUAAAUUCAUCAAUCAACAAUAAUCCGAUUACCCGUUCCCGUUAUCCUCACUUUUACGUCCCUAAACACCUAUCAUAAGGGACCUAGCCUAAGGAUCAUCAUCGGGAUGGACACUACUGCUAAGGGGAUUCCUCAGCAAUAAAUGUCCUUAAGGCAAUCAUGUGGGGGAUGGAGUACACCGAUGAACACAUCGUUCACAAACACCUACAGGUUGCGAGCCUGCUAGCGUUCCACUGGACUGUCUAGAAGAGUCUGUGGUCGUCAUCCAUACUCCGCUAGAUGACAGAAUCAACAACAUCAACAUCGAGGCCUCUCAUCAUUUUAUCACACAUCACCUAUUACAUCUACCCAUGUUUUACCCCAACAUUUUCGUAGAUAUAAAAUACAUAUACAGUUUAAAUCAUUGAAAACAUGUAUAAAAACGUUCAUCCAGCAUAGAUAGCAAGUAUUCAGAUAAUAUGCACACAUAGCACGUAAUUUAUAUAAAAUACUUCAUAUCUAUGUGUAAGCUGAAAGUAACUAUGCACUCACUUGAUAAGGUGAUGAUUCCAAAAUCGGGCAGCGCUUGCUUCUAACGAUUCUAUUUUCCUUCGACGAAACCUAGCAUUAUUAUCGCUAAAUUUUAGUCUAAUAUUUACCGUGACCAACUAUUAGUCUUAGUAUUAUUAUUAUUAUUUAAGCGUUAAACAAUAUUUUCCAACCACUAUGUACAGACAGGGGCCAGACAUAAAACACCGGAGGGCAGGACCAUUUUGGCAUAUAGCACUUCUGAAAUCCAACAACCCUAUGCGGCCCUUUAAACCAGAUUCCCCGUACCGCGAGUAGUUAAAAAAAAAUUUAUAACGACACUUAUAUAAGUUAUAAUAAUAGCUCAAAUAUUUAUUAUAAGUUCAUAAUAACAAUACUAAUUUUAAAUAUAAGCUAUAUUAAAAUAAGGUAAGCAUAACUUACUUACAAGGGGGUUUUAGCUAGGAGUCGGGCUCUGCAGGGGCAGAACUUCGUCGCUGAAUCUUUCUAAGAAAGAUUCGUGCAGCGCUUCAGCGCUCACCUUACUAUACUAAGCUACAGAAAGAGAAGUCGAAUCACGAGGGACCGAAAUGCUCGGGGGAUAAGGAGAGAAAGACUCUUGAAUCAAGAGAAUGGUGCAAGAAAUAUGAGAGCCAAAGACUCUUAUUUAUACUAAUUAAAUUUUCAAAAACCACCCUCCAUAAUUACUUAAUGAACUCUUAGUUAUACAAACAACUAAACACCCAUCUAUAAUACUAUUAUAAAUGGAUUUAAUGAUAUUUGUACUAAACUAAUGUCGAAAGAACUCAACAUUAGUCUUAUAAUGACCGCAUCGUCGAUACCUUUCUAAUGAUAUAUACAUAUGUAUAUAUAUGUGUACGUAUACAUGAUUUAUACUUUAUUUUAAUACGUAAAUAUGCUAUUAUAAUUUGUAACUCGUUCAUACGAACUCCGUUUUUGACGUUCUUUAUAUCCACGCGUAGGUGAAGACGUACUCUACAACUUUCGUUUAGACUCCGUCGGCUAAUUUUGACUUUAUUUUUAAAGUUAUAUUUUUAACAAGCCGGGACAGGAUUGGUCUGUUUAAAAUCUCAUAACUUCUUCAUACGAAGUCAGAUUUGGGCGUUCUUUUUAUCGAUGUUCUUAGUUUAACAUAUUCUACGACUUUCGUUUAGAUCACUAAGGCUAAAUCUCGCUCUAUCGUAAAUUCACUAUUCACNCUGGAAUCCUUGUUUCGACCACUAAAACUUUAUGUAGAGAUAUCGGGCUUAUCUCACACUUUAAUUUUGACGCUUAUUUUUAUUCUUUAUUAAUUAUAGAUUUAUAAUUAAAUAAUAAGCACAUAAAUACAUAUAAUUCACAUAAUACUCAAAUAUUUCAUCUUUAUUACUUCAAAAAGAGUUACAAUAGUUGAACUAGACUAUUACAUUGUCAAAAAUGUUUAGCCCUGAAACUUGAGCGUUACAAUGAUGGAUUGGGUCUUAUUGGGCUUUGUGGGCCAUUUCGGGUUUGGGAUAUUAUUUGGGUUUGUGGAUCGUUGGACCGGUUAAUGAGGGAUGUUUGGAUUGGGAAUAAGUUAUUGGGCUUUAGGGUAAGGCCCAUGCAAGGGUUUGGGCCUAAUUUGGAAAAUUGGGCCAUUAGUGGACUUUUAUGGGUGUUGGAGUUUUGGUCUUGUUUGGUUUUGGGCUUGGACCUUAGUUUUGGAUAAUAGUAGGCUAGGGGUAGAAUGGUUAUUUUACCCCAUGUAUGGAUUAAGGAUUUUAGCAUGGAACUUAAUUGAUAACUGGGUAUAUCGAUUGGUAUUGACAGCUCGGGAAGUGGACAAGGUAGCAACUAAGGAUCUCAUUUGGGAAGCUUCUACAUUCGAGGUGAGUCUCUUCACCAUACCAAUGGGUUGAAGGCACCAAGGUCGGCCCAUUUAUCUAGUUGUGAUGAUUAUUGUGGAUGUGCUAUUGAUACAUUAUGUAUUUAUAUGAAGACCAUGUCGGGGUUCCCAUGGCAAGUAGUUAUAUAUGUGGUAUGCUAGUCGAGUAUAUGUUAUUUGGUAUGCUAGUUGUCUUUGUGAUACUUGCACGGAAGACCCAGGGGGUUCCCGAGGCAGUUAUAUAUAAGACCAUGAGGGGGUUCCCAUGGCAUUCCAAGUUAAGACCAUGUGGGGGUUCCCAUGUGUAACACCCAGAAUCAGAAAGACCAAGAAAGGAAGGAAAACCCUAAGUCAAUGGGUUGACUCGUCGAGUCCAAGGAGGAACUCGACGAGUCGGAGCGUGAUCCGUGUCGCGGAUUAAGUUACCGACUCGGCAAGUCGGGGAGAUUGACUCGGCAAGUCGGGGAGAUUGACUCGGCAAGUCUGGUCUGGGUAGAGAAAGCCCUAAUUCCAGGACUUGUACCCUAUUUAAGCAUCUCAUUCUCCUUCUAUCAGCCUCAUUUGUAGCCCCAUUGUCCAGAAGCUAUUCCACGAAACUCUAGUGCUCUCUUUGAGUGUAUGAGCCAUUGUUAAAGAGUUGGAGUGUUCUUGAAGCCUGGAAGGAGAAGAAGGAGUUGACAGUUCAAGAGGAAGGUUAUGGAUCCAGAAGAUUUAUCUCUUUAGCUGCUAAAUUUGGUAAUCAAGUUCCUUCCUUGCCUUAUUAAUUGUUGGAUCAUUUCAUGUCCCUCUUUAUGAGAUUUUGGACCAAGUAUGAUACAUUUCGGGUUUGGACAUCCCCAAGCUGAAUCCCUUCAGCUCUAGUUGUGUCUUGGCCCAGAGAGUCAUAAAGUAUCAGCCUCGAGAGUGUAGGUGAAGCAUGGUUGUCUUAAACCCUAGUUUGUGGUGUGUAUAGCCUAAAUCUCCUUAGCUACACGUAAAGGUUUCAACUUUACGUGGGGAAUGGGCUUUGGGAGAGUGGAUCUAUGAGUUGGAUCCCCUGUUUGGCUCGAAAAGCCACUGCAUGGAUUAAGAGCUGAAGUGACUCGGCGAGUCACAUGGGUGAACUCGGCGAGUUGGAUGAAGUUAGGCAGGAACUCGACGAGUUGGAUGAAGUUGGGUAGGAACUCGACGAGUUGGAAGAACAACUCGGCGAGUCUGUUGAAGAUUGCCUUGGACUCGGCGAGGCGGUUCUUGGACUCGGCGAGUCAAGUCGCGAAACGCCGAACCCUUCGAGUUAAGACUCGAAUCAGUGAUUCAAGUGGAGACUCAGUGAGUUGGACAGGACAGGACUCGGAAAUCAGUGGACUCGGCGGGUUAUGGGUUGACUCGGCGAGUCGAGUCGCGAAUGGAAGGACUCUGAGCAUAUGAACUCGGCGAGUCAGUAGGCAAACUCGGCGAGUAGGGUUGACCUGGAAGGUUGACUUUGACCAAGACUUUGACUUUGACCGGAGUUGACUUAGUUUGACUUCUGAAGUUCAGUUUGGAACUAAGCGUUAUGUUGAUACUAGUAACUAGUGGAGCAACAGUUCAGAGGGUUGUCGGUCAGCAGCCAGAGGAUUAUCUGCACAAUUCAGCAGUGCGAGGUGAGUCUCCUCACUGUUUGUAUGGGUCUAAGACACCAAUGUCGGCCCAUUUAGUUUAUGUAUGACAGGAAGACCCGGGGGUUAGCCCUAAGCAGUAUGCAUGAAAGACCAGGAGGCGGCUCCUGGCACACAAUAUGUUAUUAUGUAUGAUAGGAAGACCCGGGGGUAGCCCAAGGCAAUAUGUAUGAAAGACCAGGAGGUGGCUCCUGGCGCAUUGUAUGAUAUUAUAUAAAAGACCAGGAGGUGGCCUCUGGCACACUGUAUGUUGUUUAGCUAAGUAAAGUAGUAUGCACGGUUGUCUUUGUGAUACUUAAAUAAAAGACCAGGGGUGGCCCUUGGCACUUGUCUGUAAGACCCAGGGAGUGGCCCUAGGCUUGAUCAGGAAGACCACGUGCGGCCCGUGGCAUAAUGGCAAGACUAUGUUUGGCACAUAGCACCUUAGCAAGACUAUGUUUGGCGCAUAGCACCUUACUUGAUUAUGGAUAUGUUGGUAUGUACGACAUGUAUGGAUCAGUUGGUUUGUAUGGUAUGUGGUAUCUGGGGAACUCACUAAGCUUCGUGCUUACGAUUUUCAGUUUUGGUUUCAGGUAUUUUGUUUCCAAGGAAAGGAGUCGGCUUGAUUGCAGCGCAUCACACUAUGUUUUCUGCACAUGAGAUCUUUGGGAUUACACUCUGAUAUGGUUUUAUGAUAAUAUGUUUGAUUACCGAUAUUUUUGUUUGUUACGAGAUAUUAUAAUGAAUGUUUUUAUACUGACGGUUUUAUGUAAUAACUUAUUUAAAAAUGAAACUUUUGGCCUUGAAUUUUUGGAUGUUACACCAUGGAAGAGGGCUAAGACCAUGAGGGGGUUCUUAUCGCACCUGGAGUAAGACCUUGGAGGGUUUUCAUGGCUUCCAUAUAUGUUUGUGUGCAUGGCUUGUGUAGUUGAUAUGAUUUAUGUGAUUAUGUGUAUAAGACCUUGGAGGGUUUCCAUGGCAUCUUUACGUGUGCAUAUACAUGGUUAUGCGAUUGAUAUGGCUUAUGUAGCUUUUAUAGCUAAUAUGGAUUAUGCGACUAUAUGGAUUGUGUGGGUAUGCUCUGGGGAACUCUGUAACACUCUAAAAAUUUCAACCAAUUUAAACUUUUCAAAAACAACCCAAUUUCAUUAAGUUAUUACAAAAGGUUUUCAGUACAAUUAUUUAUCAGAGUCUUCCCAGAACCAUAUCAUAAAAGCAUCAUCAUGAGGAGCGGUACGAUCACGCCUUUGCCUUGCCACGGUCUCCUAAAGUACCUGAAACAUUUAAACCACAAUUGUAAGCCCGAAAGCUUAGUGAGAUACCCACACAAUACCAACCACAUAUACCAUACACAUAACACGCCAUAUCAUAACAAAACACAGAACAACCAUGCACUUCGAGUCUACUGUAUGACUGGUUCGCCGUACCGGGCCUUCAGUCCACCUGGUCCACCCUCCGAGUCUAGCCAUAUACAUCGAGUCUACAGUGUGAUUGGUCCGCUCGCACCGGUCCUUCAAUCCACCUGGUCCACUCUCUGAGUCUACAGUAUGACUGGUUCGCCCGCACCGAGCCUUCAGCCCAAAGCAGGACCCGCCUCAACCCAACCCCAUUCCAACAACCAUGUGCACAUAAACAUUCAAUCAUAUAACAAUUCACAUACAAUCAAACCUAUCUAGCCGAUCACAUAACAUAACAUCAUCCUAACCAGGAUAUCGACCUAAUCGGUCACUAGCAUAGCAUCAUCCUAUAUACCAGGAUACCGACCUUAACCAGGUCUCUAACAUAUACCAUCCUAACUACCAGGAUGCAAACAUAGCAAAGCAAAAACAUAACAGCGAUACCCAGAUUACAAUCCGAUAAAGGGCCGGCCUUGGUGCCGUAGACCCUGUCGAUAUAGUGAGGAUAACUCACCUGCAACUGCCGACUGAAAAGAUAAGACCAAGUUGCUCCUACCACUAACACGAUCUCCACCACUAGCCAACACCAAAAUCACUGAAUUCAAAAUAAAUUCCAACAAUUACCAAAAUACCCCUGGAAGCCAACCCGUCAACUCUUGGUCAAAGUCAAAGUCCUCAGUCAAAGUCAACCUUCCUGACUGACUCUACUCGCCGAGUCAACCCGCUGACUCGCCGAGUCCUAAUGCUCUGAAACUCCCAUAACACGACUCAACUCGCCAAGUCGCCCCAAGACUCGCCGAGUCCCACAACUCUGAGUCUAAUUGCACUCAACUCACUGAGUCAUCCCUUGACUCACCGAUUCACAGCUCAACCAGGAAAGGUUAGGACCUCACGACCAGACUCGCCGAGUCCAAGAACAGACUCGCCGAGUCCAAGGCUAUCUUCAACCAACUCACCGAGUUGUUCUUCCAACUCGUUGAGUUGCUGCCUAUCUUCAUGCAACUUGCGGAGUACACCCAUGUGUACUCGCUGAGUACCAUUAACUCUUAACCCAUACAGAAGCUUUCCAAGCCAUGCAGGGUCUCCAAUCGAUAGAUCUACUCUUAUACAAGCCAUCCAUCAUGUAAAGUGGCAAACUUUACGUGAAUCCAAGGAGAUCUAAGCAUAAUACACUCUUGGGAUAGGGUUUGGGACUAAAACGCUUCAUCAACAAUUCUUGAACAGGGACUUUAUGCUCUUUUGGAUCAUCACUACACUAGAUCUGAGGUAGCAACCUCAGAUCCAACCUCCAAACUCAAGAUAGCACUAGAUAUACUCCCAAAAAUCCCACAAAUGAUAGAUCUAGAUGGAUAACAACUCAAACAACGAAUCAUUACCUCAAGAGAAGACUCCAACCGAAGAAUAAGCCAAAACCUUGUAAAGCCCCAUGCUCCAAGCCUCUUAAUCUUCAAAGAUCCCUUCAACAACACUCCUUCAAGAUCCAAAUGCUCUCUAAUUCUCUCACAAACGAAUAUUAGGGUUUCUGGACUUCAAGGGAGAGUAAAGAGGCUGGGGAGAGGGUAUUAUGUUCUUUUUAUAGGGAUCAACCCCGGGAUUAGGGUUUUCUCCACACAGCACCAACUCGCCGAGUCCAGCCACCAACUCGCCGAGUUGGCCACUUAACACGCGACCAGAAUCGCGACCCUAUUCGCCGAGUCUACCCAUCGACUCGCCGAGUAGACUAUCCACAUUUUCACUUUGAACCCUGAACUUGCACUCCUGAACUCGGGAUGUUACAAUUCUCCCCCACUUAUUAGACUUCGUCCUCGAAGCCUGCGGACACAACUCCAGAAACUACUCUCGCAAUGCACCACCUGGCAUUAACCAAGCUAGGUUCCUCAAAACACUACCACCAAAACCCAAAACCAAACUCUUCCCCUGCGAUGUCCUGACCAACGCCUCAAGCCGGCCACCGGCCUCAUACUCUGAUAACCACACUUAUCAACCGAGUGCCACUCCAUGAUACUUCACUCGUUCCGGAUCUCAACAAUCGCUCGACUCUUACGAGCUAGAUAUAACCCUGAACCACCGGGAUCCCGAACCGGUACCAUACUGCUAUCAAUUCUCCUUGUAAGACAUAUCUUUCACUGAAUUCACUGCUGAGACUUUACCUGCUCCCUUUCUGAGUCCAACUCUAUCCCUUCCAUGCUGACAGGAUGACACAUCCUUCAGCUUCAGAGCAACUCCCAUGAGUUCUCCUCCGCAAUCACAUACACAUGCUGAACUGGCUUUGGCAUCCUCAGGUUGGGAAAACCCGACACACUGACGACACCUCCAAACAUCCCCCAGGAUGAAUUACCACUACAUGCAUAAUUUCUUGUUCACACCAAACUGGGAAUCCAAGGCUCCCUCCUUGCAUCCCUUCCGAGCCUCUUGGCUCUACACCCUCAGAACUCCUUCCGUGACCUUAGCAGACAUCCCACCUGGAUGUGUUUCCACACCACCGGCGCAAACACACUGCUCAACAACCAUAAUUGGAACACCUCAAUCAUACCUCCGCGCUAUUGCUUUCACUUCUGUGAACUUACGCUCCAUGUCAGAGCUACAUACCUUUCCCUUUCCUUAUCCAAGGAAAUCUACUUGGCCGCCUUGUCACUACAAUAAGUGCCACAGUGCUCGCCCAUCACUACACCAUUCCCUUAUAGCAUAACCGCUAUCACAUGCACCACACAUGUUCUGAAUCUGCUUGCAAGGACUCUCGAGUCCAUGCACUACCUUCCACUAAUCACAAUCAAUACUUGGGGCCAGAACUUAUGAUGCUAUCACAUCGCAUCAUACUCAUUCCAUCUCCUCAUACAGAUCUAUCAACACAUGCAGAGUCUUCAGCAUGACUGGACCGCCUUACCAGGCCUUCAGCCAAUCUGCACCACUCUCAGAACCUUCAUCAUGUCUGGACCGCCCUCCAGGGCCUUCAGCCUGUCUGGACCAUUCCCCGAGCCUUCGGCCUGACUGGUACGCCCACCGGACUUCAGUCUAUUCGGACCGCUCAAGUAGCAUUCAUCAUCCUGAAUUAUCCCUCUUGGAAAACUCUCCCAUGCAUACUGUUCUAGCCUUCUAGGGGCUCCGAACUCUAACUCCAUCCUACAUAUUCAAUCUCGGCCUGAUCCUAGGCCUUCCACAAUCAAUCGACCUUUUUACGAAACCCUUGUUCUGUAUCCCGCCCCGUUUGUUGGUCACUUGCUCAAACCGGCCUAAGCUCUUGGCUGACAAAACCGCUGCUGAAUCCCAACAGCUAAUCAACCUCUCAUGCUUGUCGAUUUUUCCGGAGAAUUUUUCAAUUCUCCCCACUUAGAGCACUGACUAUCAACCACCGGUCGCCAUAACCGAUCUCCCUUAACAACCUUACACAACACAUUCCCUUACACGCGAACUGAUUCCCACUAGAAAGAGCAACCCUCCCACAAUCACAUAUCAACCCGGAACAUCUCGGACUUGAAAGAAGCCCAACCUUCAGCUAACCACUCCUCAGACUGCAGAUGCUACCCGACAUUCAGACCAAAAGCCUAAAAUCCCACUAAUAAUCCCCAUGGAUGAUAACCAAUGAAACUCCCAAUACCAAAACCCUUAACCAUACCAUAACCCUCAAGGAACAAACAAAUAGAAUACCAAAAAUCACACAACAAGACUAGCAGAUAUACAAUACUCCAUAAUAAUCAUAAGAUAACAAGAUAUCAAGAAGGAAACAUACCCACAGCUGCAUCCGGCUCUUCCCUGACCUCCUCUUCUAUAAUCUGAAAAGCACGCCCUUAAGCCCUCGGGGGCUCUGCUCCACCCUGACCUCCACCCGUAAUCCUCAAAGUGGCCGGUGCUGAAGCCUGCACCAGUCCUGCAGCAAGCUGUGGACAGUUGGCCCUCAUAUGACCAACCUGAUGACACUGAUAACAAAUCCUCAUAUCCUGAACUGGGGCUGACUGACGACAAUCCCUCGCAUAAUUCCCCUCUCUCCCGCACUUGCGGCACGCACCACCGGACCUACAAACUCCAGUGUGACCCUUCCCGCACUUCCCACAAGUACGGAUGCUCUGAUCUCCCAUCCUAGAAUCAACGGUCUUGGACCGUUUCGACGCUGGAUGCGACUGCACCAGAGCCUACCUCUGCUCUCUCAACUGUAACUCAAUCUCCAACUCACACCACCGAGCGGCCUCCUGCAACUCCAGCAAGGUCUCGCACCUCUCGUAGACACAAACUGCCUGAUAUCCCUCUUGAGCAUACUCAGAUAUCGGGACAUCUGGGCCUGCUCCGAAGCAAACUCCGGGCAAAACAUCGCCCUCUCAGUGAACAUCCUGGUGAUCUCUGUCCCCGACUCUGAAUCCUGCUUCAGCUNUCUCUCUCUCCAACCCGUGGAACAUAACGAGUGCUAAACAUCUCCCGGAACUGAUCCCAUGAAACCGCAGCCCUCUGUGCAUCCGAAUAUUACCCCGUGGUCAAUCUCCACCAAUCCUUUGCCCCGAGCCUUAACAUGUUUAGAGCGCACCUCACUUUCUGAUCCGCAGGACACGAACAUGUGAAGAAACACCCCUCCAAAUCUGAAAACCAUCUCAUAGCAACAAUCGGGUCCUGAACUCCAUCGAAGGUAGGGGCUUUGUAUUAUCGAAGCCCCGAUACUGAAAACCUCUACUGGCUCCUCCCCCUACCGCUGCUANCUCCUCAUACAGAUCUAUCAACACAUGCAGAGUCUUCAGCAUGACUGGACCGCCUUACCAGGCCUUCAGCCAAUCUGCACCACUCUCAGAACCUUCAUCAUGUCUGGACCGCCCUCCAGGGCCUUCAGCCUGUCUGGACCAUUCCCCGAGCCUUCGGCCUGACUGGUACGCCCACCGGACUUCAGUCUAUUCGGACCGCUCAAGUAGCAUUCAUCAUCCUGAAUUAUCCCUCUUGGAAAACUCUCCCAUGCAUACUGUUCUAGCCUUCUAGGGGCUCCGAACUCUAACUCCAUCCUACAUAUUCAAUCUCGGCCUGAUCCUAGGCCUUCCACAAUCAAUCGACCUUUUUACGAAACCCUUGUUCUGUAUCCCGCCCCGUUUGUUGGUCACUUGCUCAAACCGGCCUAAGCUCUUGGCUGACAAAACCGCUGCUGAAUCCCAACAGCUAAUCAACCUCUCAUGCUUGUCGAUUUUUCCGGAGAAUUUUUCAAUUCUCCCCACUUAGAGCACUGACUAUCAACCACCGGUCGCCAUAACCGAUCUCCCUUAACAACCUUACACAACACAUUCCCUUACACGCGAACUGAUUCCCACUAGAAAGAGCAACCCUCCCACAAUCACAUAUCAACCCGGAACAUCUCGGACUUGAAAGAAGCCCAACCUUCAGCUAACCACUCCUCAGACUGCAGAUGCUACCCGACAUUCAGACCAAAAGCCUAAAAUCCCACUAAUAAUCCCCAUGGAUGAUAACCAAUGAAACUCCCAAUACCAAAACCCUUAACCAUACCAUAACCCUCAAGGAACAAACAAAUAGAAUACCAAAAAUCACACAACAAGACUAGCAGAUAUACAAUACUCCAUAAUAAUCAUAAGAUAACAAGAUAUCAAGAAGGAAACAUACCCACAGCUGCAUCCGGCUCUUCCCUGACCUCCUCUUCUAUAAUCUGAAAAGCACGCCCUUAAGCCCUCGGGGGCUCUGCUCCACCCUGACCUCCACCCGUAAUCCUCAAAGUGGCCGGUGCUGAAGCCUGCACCAGUCCUGCAGCAAGCUGUGGACAGUUGGCCCUCAUAUGACCAACCUGAUGACACUGAUAACAAAUCCUCAUAUCCUGAACUGGGGCUGACUGACGACAAUCCCUCGCAUAAUUCCCCUCUCUCCCGCACUUGCGGCACGCACCACCGGACCUACAAACUCCAGUGUGACCCUUCCCGCACUUCCCACAAGUACGGAUGCUCUGAUCUCCCAUCCUAGAAUCAACGGUCUUGGACCGUUUCGACGCUGGAUGCGACUGCACCAGAGCCUACCUCUGCUCUCUCAACUGUAACUCAAUCUCCAACUCACACCACCGAGCGGCCUCCUGCAACUCCAGCAAGGUCUCGCACCUCUCGUAGACACAAACUGCCUGAUAUCCCUCUUGAGCAUACUCAGAUAUCGGGACAUCUGGGCCUGCUCCGAAGCAAACUCCGGGCAAAACAUCGCCCUCUCAGUGAACAUCCUGGUGAUCUCAGUCACCGACUCCGAAUCCUGCUUCAGCUCCAGGAACUCCUGAGCNAACCUCUCUCUCUCUCAACCCGUGGAACAUAACGAGUGCUAAACAUCUCCCGGAACUGAUCCCAUGAAACCGCAGCCCUCUGUGCAUCCGAAUAUGACCCCGUGGUCAAUCUCCACCAAUCCUUUGCCCCGAGCCUUAACAUGUUUAGAGCGCACCUCACUUUCUGAUCCGCAGGACACGAACAUGUGAAGAAACACCCCUCCAAAUCUGAAAACCAUCUCAUAGCAACAAUCGGGUCCUGAACUCCAUCGAAGGUAGGGGCUUUGUAUUAUCGAAGCCCCGAUACUGAAAACCUCUACUAGCUCCUCCCCAUGCCGCUGCUACAGCCGUUGUAGCUGCCGCGACAACCGUCUCUGUAAGAGCUGCAUAACGCUCAUCAAAAGACUCGACCAUGACGGUCUUGAUCGACCCAAACAGUUCCGGCAAACUCGGCCCAGAACAAUGCAGCAACCUCAUCAUGCAUGAUCUCACGAAUCCUAGCAUCUAACUCGUCUGUGCUCAUCUGACUAAUAACCUCGGGCGGUACUGACCCACCCUGACCGCCCUCGCUCCCGAUCCUGAUCCGGAUCCGCUCCCAGCAUGCCUCGUAACCACCAUACUGAAAAUAUUGCAAAACUUCAGACGCUUUCCCAGAACCCCGGGAACCAACUCCCAACCCCACCUAGAGGUUAUGGCUUCCUUGAUACGCGCAUGGGUCCUGUGCUUUCAGUAGUAUGGGCCCGUACUACCUUCCACACCUACCCAUAUUUAUAUCAAGUAUCACCACAACACUCUAGUGAUGAUCAUACAUAACAAGCACUCAACCCUCACUCCUAGAGGAACACUGGAAAUCUCAUACAGGGGGAAACCCUAGGCUAGCAGGCAUCAUAAAUCAGGCAACUCUAUCAUGAAAUUCCUGAAGAUCCCUAGCCUAGUACUAGCAUGUUGUUCUAUCAUAUCUUAAAAACAAAUAUCUUGUAUGGUAUUUUGGGGUUACUUACUGGCUCCGGCUGAUCGUACCUUCGCAUCCUCUUUUACUCAUUUGGAAAAACAUUUUAAAUUUUAUUUUGAAAAAUCUCCUUGAUUUGAGACUGGAUUCACACGCAUGUUCCUCCAAUUCACUCAAACCAAGGCUCUGAUACCAACUUGUAACACUCUAAAAAUUUCAACCAAUUUAAACUUUUCAAAAACAACACAAUUUCAUUAAGUUAUUGCAAAAGGUUUUCAGUACAAUUAUUUAUCAGAGUCUUCCCAGAACCAUAUCAUAAAAACAUCAUCAUGAGGAGCGGUAUGAUCACGCCUUUGCCUUGCCACGGUCUCCUGAAGUGCCUGAAACAUUUAAACCACAAUUGUAAGCCCGAAAGCUUAGUGAGAUACCUCACAAUACCAACCACAUAUACCAUACACAUAACAUGCUAUAUCAUAACAAAACACAGAACAACCAUGCACUUCGAGUCUACUAUGUGACUGGUCCGCCGUACCGUGCCUUCAGUCCACCUGGUCCACCCUCCGAGUCUAGCCACAUACAUCGAGUCUACAGUGUGAUUGGUCCGCCCGCAUCGGGCCUUCAAUCCACCUGGUCCACUCUCUGAGUCUACAGUAUGACUGGUUCGCCCGCACCGGGCCUUCAGUCGGCCUGGUCCACUCUCCGAGCCUCGGCACGUCUGGUCCGCCCUCUUGGGGCCUACAGCCUAUCCGGACCGCUCGCUGGGCCUUCGGGAUAACCGGUCCGCCCUGGGUAUGUUGGCCUACAGCACAAAGCAGGACCCGCCUCAACCCAACCCCAGUCCAACAACCAUGUGCACAUAAACAUUCAAUCAUAUAACAAUUCACAUCCAAUCAAACCGAUCUAGCAGAUCACAUAACAUAACAUCAUCCUAACCAGGAUAUCGACCUAGCCGGUCACUAGCAUAGCAUCAUCCUAUAUACCAGGAUACCGACCUUAACCAGGUCUCUAACAUAUACCAUCCUAACUACCAGGAUGCAAACAUAGCAAACAACAACAUAACAACGAUACCUGGAUUACAAUCCGAUAAAGGGCUGACCUUGGUGCCGUAGACCCUGUCGAUAUAGUGAAGAUAACUCACCUCGCAACUGCCGACUGAAAGAUAAGACCAAGAUGCUCCAACCACUGACAAAAUCUCCACCACUAGCCAACACCAACACUGAACUCAAAACAAAUGCCAACAAUUACCAAAAUGCCCCUGGAAGUCAACUGGUCAACCCUUGGUUAAAGUCAAAGUUAAAGUCAACCUCCUGACUGACUCUACUCGCCGAGUCAACCCGAUGACUCAUCGAUUCCCCAUGCUCAGAACUUCCCCAAUCCGCAACUCAACUCGCCGAGUCCAACAACUCUGAGUCCCCCGCACUCAACUCACCGAGUCCUCCCUUGACUCACCGAUUCACGGCUCAACCAGAAGAAGGUUAGAACCUCACGACCAGACUCGCAGAGUCCAAGGCUAUCUUCAACCAACUCGCCGAGUUGUUCUUCCAACUCGUUGAGUUCCUGCCCAUCUUCAAGCAACUCGCCGAGUACACCCUUGUGNGAGUACACCCAUGUGUACUCGCCGAGUACCAUUAGCUCUUAAACUAUACAGAAGCUUUCCAAGCCAUGCAGGGUCUCCAAUCCAUAUCUACUCUUAUACAAGCCAUCCAUCAUGUAAAGUGGCAAACUUUACGUGAAUCCAAGGAGAUCUAAGCAUAAUACACUCUAGGGCUAGGGUUUGGGACUAAAAGGCUUCAUCAACAACUCUUGAACAAGGAAUUUAUGCUCUUUUGGAUCAUCACUACUCUAGAUCUGAGGUAGCAACCUCAGAUCCAACCUCCAAACUCAAGAUAACACUAGAUAUACUCCCAAAAAUCCCACAAAUGAUAGAUCUUGAUGGAUAACAGCUCAAACAACGAAUCAUUACCUCAAGAGAAGACUCCAACCAAAGAAUAAGCCAAAACCUUGUAAAGCCCCUUGCUCCAAGCCUCUUAAUCUUCAAAGAUCCAUUCAACAACACUCCUUCAAGAUCCGAAUGCUCUUUAAUUCUCUCACAAACGAAUAUUAGGGUUUUUGGACUUCAAGGGAGAGUAAAGAGGCUGGGGAGAGGGUAUUAUGUUCUUUAUAUAGGGCUCAACCCUCAGGAUUAGGGUUUUCUCCACAUAGCACCAACUCGCCGAGUCCAGCCACCGACUCGCCGAGUUGGCCACUUAACACGCGACUAGAAUCGCGACCCUACUCGCCAAGUCUACCCAUGGACUCGCCGAGUAGACUAUCCACAUUUUCACUUUGAACCCAGAACUUGCACUCCUGAACUCGGGAUGUUACAAACUCACUAUGCUUCGUACUUACAGUUUUGUUUAUGGUUUCAGGUACCAUCGGUUUGGAAAGGAAGGGUCCGACUUGAUCGCAACGCACACACCCGUGUUUCUGUAAUAUAUGAUUUUGGGAUGAACUCUGAUGAAUGGUUUUAAUUAAUCAUGCUUUUGGAAUGUUUUGAUUUAAAGAUAUAUGUGUUUUGAUUGUAUUGAAAAAUGAAAUUUUUACCCUUGAUUUUUGGAUCGUUACAAAAACACAACAUUUAUGUGGGAUGAGUUUGCCCCACUGGUUCGGUUUCCAAAUUAAGUAAGAUAACACUUAAUUAAUACAAUGACACGAAUGUAUAAAGUUUAUAAAUUUGAAAUUAUGAGUUUUACAUAUAAACUAUAUAAAUGCUUGUACAGUGUUUGAAGAGUAAAUUUGGCUAAUAUAUGUUUUCACAAAGUGUGCUAUGACUUUAUUUUAUAUAAAUUGGUAUUCAAAUUUUAUAUAAAAAGCAUUUUGGUCAUGGGAACCAUAAAAUUUGAUAUAAGUUUGAUUUACUUAUAUAUUUAUCAAAUGAUGUAGUAUUGGAUUUGAGCAAAUGAUAUUUCUAAAUACACUUUUAUAAUUCAAUGAUUUUAUAAUUUUGAUAGAAAAAGUACGUAUUUAUAAAAGUUGGUCAACCAGAUAAACUUUAUAAAACACUUUUGAGUAAAAAAAUACUUUGUGUCAAAACCUAUAGAACUCGUCAACAAUUUUGUUGACGUAUCUUAAUGCAUGUAUUCUCAUGUUAUUUAGAAGGCCAGAAUUGUCCGUACAGAAGACCCUCCGUUAUUUUUAUCAUAUAUUUGUAAACGCUGGAUUGUUAGGCAUGUGUCGCGAUUUAACAAUAGCUAUUUUUAUUGUAAUUCUAUUUCGGUAGUAAUAUAAGAUUUUAUUUGUACUGUUCAAUAACUAUGAUCAUUGAUCUACGUCGCGCACUUCGACGUUUCCGCCGACAACCGGGGGCGAGACACAAUUUACUUGAAUAUUUAUUGGAUUGUGAUUCCAAUCAUUUUCCAAAAUUUGUGAUUUCGACCAUAUAACCUUAGGGUAUCACGAAAUCAGAUUUUGGAUAAUCCAAAGAAUUUCAAUGUAGAAGUCAUGCCACUUUUAUAUCAAAAACACAAAACAACAAAGUACCUUGUUGUUUUGUGUUUUUGAGAGAUAGAACAAAUCAAAUGUAUGAUUUUCGUGUAUAUAUGUUCCAACCCGUUUUCUAGAACCAAAAAAAAGUUCUUAUACAAGAGGGAAAGUA